rnacentral:rRNA from 1 species
UACCAGCACCCCGAGUGGUCGGGACGUUUAUUGGGCCUAAAGCAUCCGUAGCCGGUUCUACAAGUCUUCCGUUAAAUCCAACUGCUUAACAGGUGGGCUGCGGAAGGUACUAUAGAGCUAGGAGGCGGGAGAGGCAAGCGGUACUCGAUGGGUAGGGGUAAAAUCCGUUGAUCCAUUGAAGACCACCAGUGGCGAAGGCGGCUUGCCAGAACGCGCUCGACGGUGAGGGAUGAAAGCUGGGGGAGCAAACCGG